GACGAACGCUGGCGGCGCGCCUAACACAUGCAAGUCGAACGGAGCUGCGAGAAGCUUGCUUUUCUUAGCUUAGUGGCGCACGGGUGAGUAACGCGUGAGUAACCUGCCCUGGAGUGGGGGACAACAGUUGGAAACGACUGCUAAUACCGCAUAAGCCCACGAUCCGGCAUCGGCUUGAGGGAAAAGGAUUUAUUCGCUUCAGGAUGGACUCGCGUCCAAUUAGCUAGUUGGUGAGGUAACGGCCCACCAAGGCGACGAUUGGUAGCCGGACUGAGAGGUUGAACGGCCACAUUGGGACUGAGACACGGCCCAGACUCCUACGGGAGGCAGCAGUGGGGGAUAUUGCACAAUGGGGGAAACCCUGAUGCAGCGACGCCGCGUGGAGGAAGAAGGUUUUCGGAUUGUAAACUCCUGUCGUUAGGGACGAUAAUGACGGUACCUAACAAGAAAGCACCGGCUAACUACGUG
rnacentral:rRNA from 1 species